rnacentral:rRNA from 1 species
CAGCAGCCGCCGCGGUAAUACAGAGGGUGCGAGCGUUAAUCGGAUUUACUGGGCGUAAAGCGUGCGUAGGCGGCUUCUUAAGUCGGAUGUGAAAUCCCUGAGCUUAACUUAGGAAUUGCAUUCGAUACUGGGAAGCUAGAGUAUGGGAGAGGAUGGUAGAAUUCCAGGUGUAGCGGUGAAAUGCGUAGAGAUCUGGAGGAAUACCGAUGGCGAAGGCAGCCAUCUGGCCUAAUACUGACGCUGAGGUACGAAAGCAUGGGGAGCAAACAGGAUUAGAUACCCCAGUAGUCCCUGUCUCUUAUAC